CAGCAGCCGCGGGAAUACGGAGGGUGCAAGCGUUAAUCGGAAUUACUGGGCGUAAAGCGCACGCAGGCGGUCUGUCAAGUCAGAUGUGAAAUCCCCGGGCUUAACCUGGGAACUGCAUUUGAAACUGGCAGGCUAGAGUCUUGUAGAGGGGGGUAGAAUUCCAGGUGUAGCGGUGAAAUGCGUAGAGAUCUGGAGGAAUACCGGUGGCGAAGGCGGCCCCCUGGACAAAGACUGACGCUCAGGUGCGAAAGCGUGGGGAGCAAACAGGAUUAGAUACCCGCGUAGUCCCUGUCUAUUAUAA
rnacentral:rRNA from 1 species